rnacentral:rRNA from 1 species
GACGAACGCUGGCGGCGUGCCUAAUACAUGCGAGUCGAACGCUUCUUUCCUCCCGAGUGCUUGCACUCAAUUGGAAAGAGGAGUGGCGGACGGGUGAGUAACACGUGGGUAACCUACCCAUCAGAGGGGGAUAACACUUGGAAACAGGUGCUAAUACCGCAUAACAGUUUAUGCCGCAUGGCAUAAGAGUGAAAGGCGCUUUCGGGUGUCGCUGAUGGAUGGACCCGCGGUGCAUUAGCUAGUUGGCGAGGUAACGGCUCACCAAGGCCACGAUGCAUAGCCGACCUGAGAGGGUGAUCGGCCACACUGGGACUGAGACACGGCCCAGACUCCUACGGGAGGCAGCAGUAGGGAAUCUUCGGCAAUGGACGAAAGUCUGACCGAGCAACGCCGCGUGAGUGAAGAAGGUUUUCGGAUCGUAAAACUCUGUUGUUAGAGAAGAACAAGGACGUUAGUAACUGAACGUCCCCUGACGGUAUCUAACCAGAAAGCCACGGCUAACUACGUG